UUCUUAUUCUGGGGGAGGGUGGGGGGGGGCGGAUAUCUUUCAACUUCUGUUACAAACAACUGGUCACAUGUCCGUUGAUUAGAAAGCUUCCUCAAUUUCACCUGCUGUUAGAUUCCUAAGUUGGAAUGUUAAAGGUCUUAACAGUACAGUGAAGCAAUCUAAAAUAAACUCUCAUCUGAAGCGCCUAAAUCCUGACAUAGUAUUUCUACAGGAAACACAUCUGCAGAAUGCAAAUUGGUCCAGGCUCAAAUAUUCAUGGGUUGUAGAGAUUUACCACUCGGGCUUCAACUCGAAAGCUAGAGGAGUAGCCAUAUUAUUUAAUAAGAAGGUUCAUUUCACAGCAUCAAAAAUAAUGUGAGAUACAAAUGGCAGAUUUCUUAUAAUUGCAGGUUGUCUGUUCCACACACCUGUUUUAUUAAUGAACAUUUAUGCACCAAACUCCUGAUUUUAUAAAUAAUCUAUUUAGCACACUUCCUUUUGACACUCAUUUGUUGAUUCUAGCUGGGGACCUGAACUGUGUAAUGAACCCAGCAUUAGAUCGCUCCUCAUCUCAGGCCUUUACGCAGUCAAAUAUGUCUAAAUGCAUUUCGGAUUUUAUGACUCAAAAUGGGUAUGUAGAUCCAUGGCAUGUAAUCCACUAACAAAGACUUAUUCUUUUUUCUCUCAGGUACACCAGUCCUAUUACCGUAUAGAUUAUUUUUUUGUUGAUGGGUUGUGGUACUCGAAGUUGGUCUUGGUCUCGAGACCGGUUUUAAGACCAU